rnacentral:rRNA from 1 species
AGCGUAGACGGAUGGACAAGUCUGAUGUGAAAGGCUGGGGCUCAACCCCGGGACUGCAUUGGAAACUGCCCGUCUUGAGUGCCGGAGAGGUAAGCGGAAUUCCUAGUGUAGCGGUGAAAUGCGUAGAUAUUAGGAGGAACACCAGUGGCGAAGGCGGCUUACUGGACGGUAACUGACGUUGAGGCUCGAAAGCGUGGGGAAGCAAACA